rnacentral:rRNA from 1 species
CAUGCAGGCGGUUAUGCAAGCAGGAUGUGAAACCCCCGGGCUUAACCUGGGAACUGCAUUCUGAACUACAUGACUAGAGUAUUGCAGGGGGAGACGGAAUUCCAGGUGUAGCGGUGGAAUGCGUAGAUAUCUGGAAGAACACCAAAGGCGAAGGCAGUCUCCUGGGCAAAUACUGACGCUCAUAUGCGAAAGCUGGUAGCAAACA